AGCACCUCUCGCUGACAGCCUCGGCUUCCAGUAUAAAAUUAACUGGAUCAAACCGGCUACUGAAUACCGCACCUGGUGUGUAAGAGACUUUCUUUGCAGAGACAGGUCAGGCCACCAGAAGUCUCCUGGGCCUCCGAGGGGUUCAAGAGGAGUGGAGUAGAGCCUGCAGGCUAUGCGCUUGCCUACUUAGUACACAGGACAGCUCAUUGCUUUCAAGAAGGAGGCUCCACUCUACUCCGUGAUUAGCCGACAUCGCCAAGUGGAGAGCAACGCUGACCUACAGGUACAGAAUGUGAGCCUUUGCUCUCUUCUUUUUCACGUCCAUGACCCUCAUGGAGCACCAUGCACUUGACAAAGGAGGUAUGCAGGCCACCCUUGGGAGCAGACCAUUCUACACUUCCCUGCGUAAACCGUUCCAGUUAACUAUGACCUCAAAAACCAAGAAAUCAAAAGUCUCCUGUUUGCCAGAAAUAUUGCGACCUGCACAUGCAGAUGCUCUGAAAAAAUAAAAACAUUUUAUCGGC